GGGCCCGCACAAGCGGUGGAGUAUGUGGUUUAAUUCGAUGCAACGCGAAGAACCUUACCAGGGUUUGACAUCCUGCGAAUCUCUUGGAAACGAGAGAGUGCCUUCGGGAACGCAGUGACAGGUGGUGCAUGGCUGUCGUCAGCUCGUGUCGUGAGAUGUUCGGUUAAGUCCGGCAACGAGCGCAACCCACAUCCCUAGUUGCCAGCAGUUCGGCUGGGCACUCUAUGGAAACUGCCCGUGAUAAGCGGGAGGAAGGUGUGGAUGACGUCAAGUCCUCAUGGCCCUUACGGGUUGGGCUACACACGUGCUACAAUGGGGAAUACAGACGGA
rnacentral:rRNA from 1 species